rnacentral:rRNA from 1 species
UACGGAGGGUGCGAGCGUUGUCCGGAAUCACUGGGCGUAAAGGGCGCGUAGGCGGCGCGAGCAGUCGAUCGUGAAAGUCCGGAGCUCAACUCCGGAUCGGCGGUCGAUACUCUCGUGCUUGAGCACUGUAGAGGCAGAUGGAAUUCCGGGUGUAGCGGUGGAAUGCGCAGAUAUCAGGAGGAACACCGAUGGCGAAGGCAGGUCUCUGGGCCACUACUGACGCUGAGAAGCGAAAGCAUGGGGAGCGAACAGG